AUGCUUCUCCUAAAGACUAAGCCAUGCAUGCCUUCGAAUAGGAGGAAGCAAUUCUCUCUGAAUCUGCGAACGGCUCCGCAAACCAGUUGUAAACUAUAGCAAGCCAGCUCGGGCUCGGGCUUCACGGCUCGGGCUCGAGUGAUACGGAUACCCCUGGUAAUUCUGAGGCUAAUACGAGAACGUAACCCCUGGCUGACCGGGCAACUGGGAGGCUGGGGAACGUGCGACUAUACACGGAUAAACCAGGAAGGGGCGCACGUUCGGACCGCGCUACAAAGGAUGGGGUCGCAGACCUUCGGGAAAGCGGCUUCGCCCCAGCGGCUCUUGCGAUGUGCUUCUGACCUAUCAACUAGAUGGCAGCCUAACGGACAUGCUAUGGUUACAACGGGUACAGAGGAUUAGGGUUCGAUCCUGGAGAGUGGGCCUGAGAGAUUGCUCACACUUCUAAGGAAGGCAGCAGGCGCGCAACGUUCCCAUUGAGCAAUGCUCGAGGGCGUUAGGGGACAUAUGAAUGCCUGCCUUAUGGGUGGGCAAUUCAAAUGGGUCUGUUGUAAACAGGCUC
rnacentral:rRNA from 1 species